rnacentral:rRNA from 1 species
GAUGAACGCUGGCGGCGUGCCUAAUACAUGCAAGUCGAGCGAACAGACGAGGAGCUUGCUCCUCUGACGUUAGCCGCGGACGGGUGUGUAACACGUGGAUAACCUACCUAUAAGACUGGGAUAACUUCGGGAAACCGGCGCUAAUACCGGAUAAUAUAUUGCACCGCAUGGUUCAAUAGUGAAAGACGGUUUUGCUGUCACUUCUAGAUGCAUACGCGCCGCAGUAUCUAGUUGGUAAGGUAACGGCUUACCAAGGCAAGGAUGCGUAGCCGACCCGAGAGGGUGAUCGGCCACACGGGAACUGAGACACGGCCCAGACUCCGAAGUGAGGCAGCAGUAGGGAAUCUUCCGCAAUGGGCGAAAGCCUGACGGAGCAACGCCGCGUGAGUGAGGAAGGGCCUCGGAUCGUAAAACUCUGUUAUUAGGGAAGAACAAAUGUGUAAGUAACGAUGCGCGUCUGGAGGGUACCUGAUCAGAAAGCCACGGCUAAUUACUU